ensembl:lncRNA
CUUAGGCCAUCCUCCUUUAGCGGGACUGUGGCAGGAGUGAUGCUGUGUGCACGUUGCAUCCUCCCAGGUGGCGGGAUUUUGAUGUGGGCUGUUACUGAUCUUAACUUAAUUCACUCGGUUAAGCUUCUCUGCCAGCCUUCUCCACUGCGAAGUUACUCUUUUCCUCUUUGUGAUUAAUACUUAUUUUGAGGGGAAGUGCUGUGAAGCUAUGUAAAUAUCUCAUUACUCAUCAAACUUUCCAUUUUAUUCAGUUUUUUAUGGAAUCAUAAGUUAUAUCCAGGCUGUUAAUUUUUGACGGGAAUACCACAAAUAUGAUGCCGUGUUCUUCUUAGUACGUCAUAUCAGGAGGCACAUGCUGACACUUCAUCCUAUAUCCAGUGAUGUUGACUUUUACAACUUAGAGAGAAGACUGGGAAAUAACAGCCCCUAGUAGUUUCACAGUGGAGAACACUCUUUCCCUCACUCCUAUGUUGACAUAUAAAGUUCAUAAUGAUGGAGGUGAUUGCCUGCUGUGUUUCCUGGUCCUACCUCACCCAGGGUACUGAGUUCAUCUGGACGUCACAGUAUGAGUCUUUCUAGAAGACACAACUUGCUUUCCCUUUGGGACACCAACUCUUUUCCCACCUAAGGCCUUGUGCUUGCAGUGAAAUUGUCUUUAUUCUUUACUCCUGACCAGACAGCACGUUGCACUCCUUUGGUGACAGUGCUUGGCUCAGGGGAAAGCGUGUGACACCUUCAGAGCUGUUAACGUGCGAUGAGACUUUUUCUGAGAUUUCUGAAACAUUGCCACUCUUCUCUACUAGACUGGAGAUUGUUAGAAGGGAAGGCUGGAUUCCUCAACCAUCUUGCUAUCCUGAGGAAAAAGCCUGCCUGAGUUUCUUUCUUAAAGAAAUGGAGCUGGGAGAUGAGAGGCAGUGAAUUCAGAUUCUGGGAAUCUUCCGGGAGCUCCUAUUUCAAACCACGCCCUUAAUGAAACUUACUCUGGAGGUUUAAUUAUGUGAGCCAAAAAAAAAUCUCCUUUUUGCUCAAGCUAACUUAAACUGGGUUUUCUGUCACAUGUAACCACAAUUGUUUUUACUGAUUCAAUUUAAGAGAGACAUUGGUAAAUUAAAUAAGCCCAGAGAAGAAUUGCCACAGGGGUGAAUGUGACCGGAACUGUGUCAAAGGGGUAGAAACUGGAGAAAGUAUGGCUUGAAGAAAGAAGAGCUGGUGUGUAUGUGUUCCAGGAGAAGAAGAAUGUUAAAGGUAUGGAAGAGGAUACCAAAGAAAGAGAAAUACUUCAAAUAUUUCAUUAGAAUUCAUGAUAGGAAGCUCCUGGGAAACAAAUUUCAAUUUUAAAACUGUAACAAUUUAAGGUGUCUGAAAAUGGGCUGAAUUGGCCUGUAAUGUUUGCUGUGUCUAGAAGGGUUUUUAAUAACUGAUCGGAGAUAUUGUAGAGCGAAUUCAAGCUGCCCAGUGGAUGGUGUCUUCUGGACUUCACUCAUUGAACGUCAUCUUCACAAUUUUUGCCAUGCGGGAAAGGGGAAACUUGUACCAUCUUUUGCUCAAUAUUUUCUUUGCAUCAAUUUCCUUUUUUGUCCAAAUAAGUUUAUUUUUAAAUGAAACUAAAUCGCUACUAUAAAUGGGAAAUAAGAAUCAGUGGCCAAAAAUAAAUAUAAUAAAACAAAACAAUGUUAUUAAAU